UAUCUAGUCGGUAAAGAGUCUGCCUGCAAUGCAGGAGACCCGGGUUCGAUCCCUGG
rfam:TPA: Bos taurus chromosome 9, whole genome shotgun sequence.